AGUUUGCCAUCUCUAAUAGUUUUCCGGGUAGUCACCAUCGUCCUCCCCUGUUUCGACCGCCGGCAUGGUAGAAUAGUGCCAAGGGGCUGCUCAAAAGAGCAUGCUACCCCUCUCUGUUAAGUGUCUCCCCUGUAGCGCAGUGGCAACAGAGCCUCGGCACGCGCAGCGCUCGCGGGUUCGAUCCCCCGCAGGCCCCUUUUUCUUAUUUGUGUUUUUAGCUAGUAGCAGAGCAGCGCAGAGAAGUUAGCCUGCAUCCUUCCCCUUCUCUGUCGAGUGCCAAAAUAGUAGCAGAGUGGUGUUGUGCAUGUGGUGGCAAUAGGAGGUUGUGGGUUCGAAUCACAACCAACCCCCCCUUUCAUUUUUUUGCUGCAUUUCUUUUUUCACUGUNNNNNNNNNNNNNNNNNNNNNNNNAUAUCUAUAUGUGUGUGUCACCAUAUAGUGUUUCCAUGCCAUGCCUAGUUAGAUAUGUUGUUCUUGUCCAAGGAAGUGCAUGUGUAGAUGAUGCAAUAUGUGCUAGUUUUACAUGUGAUGAUAGUCAUUUGUAGUAAUAGGAUUCUAUGUGUCAUUUUAGAGCUAGCUUUGUGCCUUGAUGUUACAUGCAAGUACCCAUGCAUUAUAUAUGAUUUUGGGGUAGAAUCAUCCCAG
rnacentral:lncRNA from 1 species